GUCCCCAUCGUCUAGUGGCCUAGGACACUGCCCUUUCAAGGCGGUGGCAUGGGUUCGAAUCCCAUUGGGGACGCCA
rnacentral:tRNA from 1 species